GACAGUGCAGAAAGGGGCCAAGAGACUUCCUUGGCUAACCAGAGAAAUUCAGAGCAGUCUAAGGGCAAAAAGCGGGGCAUAUAAGCAGCAGAAACAGGGAGAGAUUACUAAAGAGGAGUAUGCCUCCUCAGCUUGCAGUUGUAGGGAGGCAGUUAGAAAGGCCAAAGCUACCAUGGAGCUUAGGAUGGCAUCCCAAGCUAAGGACAACAAAAAUUGUUUUUCAGAUCUAUAGGGAGUAAAAGAAAGGCCCAGGGUGGUAUAGGACCACUAUUGACUGGGCAAAAGCAAUUGGUGACAGACAAGGGGGGACAAGGCUGAACUCCUCAAUGUCUUCUUUGCCUCAGUGUUCCUAAAUGAGGGGCAAGACAAGUCUCAAAAUGGAAUCAGAGAGAGACAACAGCAGGAUGCCAGACCACCAAGCAUUGACCCUGAGAUAAAUGCAUCCAGUCCUUCUAAGUGACUCUGCACUAAGUUGGCAGGCCUGGAUGAGCUCCAUCCGAGGGUACUGAAGGCACUGGCUUAUGUCAUUGCACAGCCA